rnacentral:rRNA from 1 species
GAUGAACGCUGGCGGCGUGCCUAAUACAUGCCAGUCGAGCGAACGGACGAUAAGCUUGCUGCUCGGAUGUUAGCGGCGGACGGGUGAGUAACACGUGGAUAACCUACCUAUAUUACUGGGAUAACUUCGGGAAACCGGCUCUAAUACCGGAGAAUCUUUUGAACCGCAGGGUUGAAAGGAGAAAUACGGCCUUGCGGGCACUUAUAGCGGCAUCCGCGCUGCAGUAGAUAGUUGGUAAGGUAACCGCUUAUCAAGGCAACGAUGCAUAGCCGAGGUGUGAGGGUGAUAGGCCGCACUGGAACUGAGACACGGUCAAGACUACUACGGGAGGCAGCAGUAGGGAAUGUGCCGCAACGGGCGAGAGCAUGACGGAGCAACGCGGAGUGAGUGAUGGCGGUCUUCGGAUCGUAAAACUCUGUUAUUAGUGAAGAACAUAUGUGUAAGUAACUGUGCACAUAUUGACGGUAACUAAUAAGAAAGCAACGGCUAACUACGUG